GGUUUAGCAACCAGGUCUGCCUUAUUGGUAUGUACUUGGAUUGCUUUACCUUAUUUUCUGGGUGGCUUGCAUGCUCUUUACUGAGUGUGCUAAGAGAUCCAGGACUUUUACUGUGAAAAAAUUAGAGUGUUCAAAGCAGGCUAUCGCUUGAAUACAUUAGCAUGGAAUAAUAAAAUAGGACUUUGGUCUUAUUUUGUUGGUUUUAAAGACCAAGGUA
rnacentral:rRNA from 1 species